rnacentral:tRNA from 2 species
UCCGCGGUAGCUCAGCGGUAGAGCAGUUGACUGUUAAUCAAUUGGUCGCAGGUUCGAAUCCUGCCCGCGGAG